rnacentral:lncRNA from 10 species
AAAUGGAACCAGAUGACCUGAAGUUCUGAGCCAUUCUCAGAGACCAUGAUCUGCUAAGGAGCAGAAAUUAUCAAAGAAGAUCACCGAACUGACAGACAACUGUAUUUCCACACUCCUGCCCUUUGAAAUCUGCCUUCUAGUAUGUGAGGCAACCUUCAUCAGCAUGUAGUAGCAUGUCGGUGCUGGCUAGUUACUUUCCAAGAGGGAGAUAAACACCUCAAAAUAAGCAAUGAAAUUGCUUCAAGUCAGUUUUAAAAUCGUUAGUUUU